ACUCCUACGGGAGGCAGCAGUGGGGAAUAUUGCACAAUGGGCGCAAGCCUGAUGCAGCCAUGCCGCGUGUAUGAAGAAGGCCUUCGGGUUGUAAAGUACUUUCAGCAGUGAGGAAGGUGGAUAUGUUAAUAGCAUAUUCAUUUGACGUUAGCUGCAGAAGAAGCACCGGCUAACUCCGUGCCAGCAGCCGCGGUAAUACGGAGGGUGCGAGCGUUAAUCGGAAUUACUGGGCGUAAAGCGCAUGCAGGUGGUUUGUUAAGUCAGAUGUGAAAGCCCGGGGCUCAACCUCGGAAUUGCAUUUGAAACUGGCAAACUAGAGUACUGUAGAGGGGGGUAGAAUUUCAGGUGUAGCGGUGAAAUGCGUAGAGAUCUGAAGGAAUACCGGUGGCGAAGGCGGCCCCCUGGACAGAUACUGACACUCAGAUGCGAAAGCGUGGGGAGCAAACAGGAUUAGAUACCAUGGUCGGCUCUGC
rnacentral:rRNA from 1 species